rnacentral:lncRNA from 1 species
CAAAAUAUGUCAUCAGAGCAUAGCAAAACGCUCUUUUAGUUGUUUGAUGAGUUGCUGCGUAUCAAUGUGGCCUGGAAAUGCUUCCUCUGACUUCUGAGCAGCCAUGUAACUCCUCUGAAAGUCUCCAACCUUCUCUGAGAGUAUUGCAAAAUUAAAGUGGGGCUCAUACAUAUGAGGUGCUAAAUAUGAAGCAGUCUGCAGCAAAGCUCUUGCCUGUUCAAUGUGACCUUUUUGCAUUUCCAGCACAGCCAAGUUGUUGUAAGCUUCUGCAUAGUCGUUAUUGUUGACUAAGGUCAGUUUGAAACACUGGUAAGCCAGAUUCAGGUCUCCUAUCCCCACAGCCACGUGUCCCAAGUUGUACCACACAUCUGCUCUUUCCUCUUCAUUUUCGGCCAAAAACAGUGCUCGUUCAAAUGAAGUUAGUGUCAUAUCAUACUGCUGGGCAUAGAAGCAACAGAGGCCCAGAUUGUUAAAAAGCUGGUAG